rnacentral:rRNA from 1 species
AGCAGCCGCGGUAAUUCCAGCUCCAAUAGCGUAUAUUAAAGUUGUUGCAGUUAAAAAGCUCGUAGUUGAAUUUCGGGAUCAUCAGGUCGGUCGUGCCUCCGGUAUGUACUGGUCUCGGUGGUUCCUCCUUCUUGUAGAACCGUAAUGCCAUUAAUUUGGUGUUGCGGGGAGACUGGACUGUUACUUUGAAAAAAUUAGAGUGUUUAAAGCAGGCUAACGCUUGAAUACAUUAGCAUGGAAUAAUGAAAUAGGGCGUUCGAUCUUAUUUUGUUGGUUUCUAAGAUUGACGUAAUGAUUAAUAGGGAUAGUUGGGGGCAUUAGUAUUCAAUUGUCAGAGGUGAAAUUCUUGGAUUUAUUGAAGACUAACUACUGCGAAAGCAUUUGCCAAGGAUGUUUUCAUUAAUCAAGAACGAAAGUUAGGGGAUCGAAGACGAUCAGGUACCGUCGUGGUCUUAACCAUAAACUAUGCCGACUAGGGAUCGGAUGAUGUUAAUUUUUUAAUGACUCAUUCGGCGCCUUA